AUUGAACGCUGGCGGCAGGCCUAACACAUGCCAGUCGAACGGUAACAGGAAGAAGCUUGCUUCUUUGCUGACGAGUGGCGGACGGGUGAGUAAUGUCUGGGAAACUGCCUGAUGGAGGGGGAUAACUACUGGAAACGGUAGCUAAUACCGCAUAACGUCGCAAGACCAAAGAGGGGGACCUUCGGGCCUCUUGCCAUCGGCUGUGCCCAGAUGGGAUUAGCUAGUAGGUGGGGUAACGGCUCACCUAGGCGACGAUCCCUAGCUGGUCUGAGAGGAUGACCAGCCACACUGGAACUGAGACACGGUCCAGAUUCCUACGGGAGGCAGCAGUGGGGAAUAUUGCACAAUGGGCGCAAGCCUGAUGCAGCCAUGCCGCGUGUAUGAAGAAGGCCUUCGGGUUGUAAAGUACUUUCAGCGGGGAGGAAGGGAGUAAAGUUAAUACCUUUGCUCAUUGACGUUACCCGCAGAAGAAGCACCGGCUAACUCCGUG
rnacentral:rRNA from 1 species